AUUGAACGCUGGCGGCAGGCCUAACACAUGCAAGUCGAACGGUAGCACAGAGGAGCUUGCUCCUUGGGUGACGAGUGGCGGACGGGUGAGUAAUGUCUGGGAAACUGCCCGAUGGAGGGGGAUAACUACUGGAAACGGUAGCUAAUACCGCAUAACGUCGCAAGACCAAAGAGGGGGACCUUCGGGCCUCUUGCCAUCGGAUGUGCCCAGAUGGGAUUAGCUAGUAGGUGGGGUAACGGCUCACCUAGGCGACGAUCCCUAGCUGGUCUGAGAGGAUGACCAGCCACACUGGAACUGAGACACGGUCCAGACUCCUACGGGAGGCAGCAGUGGGGAAUAUUGCACAAUGGGCGCAAGCCUGAUGCAGCCAUGCCGCGUGUAUGAAGAAGGCCUUCGGGUUGUAAAGUACUUUCAGCGAGGAGGAAGGCGUUGUGGUUAAUAACCGCAACGAUUGACGUUACUCGCAGAAGAAGCACCGGCUAACUCCGUGCCAGCAGCCGCGGAAA
rnacentral:rRNA from 1 species